rnacentral:rRNA from 1 species
AAGUGGUAGUUUGCGCCCUGGAACCCUGAUCCAGCCAUCCCGCGUGAGUGAUGAAGGCUUUCGGAUUUGUAAAGUACUUGGCAGAGAAGAAGGUACCUCCUAAUACGGGGUACUGCUGACGGUAUCUUAUUAAAGCCGGCUAACUACGUGCCAGCAGCCGCGGUAAUACGUAGGGUGCAAGCGUUAAUCGGAAUUACUGGGCGUAAAGCGUGUGUAGGCGGUUCGGAAAGAAAGAUGUGAAAUCCCAGGGCUCAACCUUGGAACUGCAUUAACUGCCGAGCUUGAGUAUGUCAGAGGGUAGAAUUCCACGUGUAGCAGUGAAAUGCGUAGAUAUGUGGAGGAAUACCGAUGGCGAAGGCAGCCCCCUGGGAUAAUACUGACGCUCAGACACGAAAGCGUGGGGAGCAAACAGGAUUAGAUACCCCGGUAGU